CAUUUUUCUGCCCUGUCCUCUGUGCAGGUCUCAUGAGAGGAGCUGAGACCAGACACACACCUCAGCAGAGUUCUUGUGAUCUCCUGGGUACCAAGCUUUUUGGCCCCGAGUAAACUCGAGCCACAAAAUUUCCAUGCUACCUGGAACUAAUGAGCAGGGACCAUGAAUGCUGCUCCAGCCGACUCCAGCCCCAGCUCUCCCACUGAUCAGCUGACAACAUACAGAUGGGAGAGGUGUGGAUCACCUCCAGCCU
rnacentral:lncRNA from 1 species